rnacentral:rRNA from 1 species
UACGUAGGGGCUAGCGUUGUCCGGAAUCAUUGGGCGUAAGCGCGCGUAGGCGGCCCGGUAAGUCCGCUGUAAAGUCAAAGGCUCAACCUUUGAAUGUCAGUGGAUACUGCCGGGCUAGAGUCCGGAAGAGGCGAGUGGAACUCCUGGUGUAGCGGUGGAAUGCGCAGAUAUCAGGAAGAACACCGACGGCGAAGGCAGCUCGCUGGGACGGUACUGACGCUGAGGCGCGAAAGCGUGGGGAGCGAACAGG